rnacentral:rRNA from 1 species
GACGAACGCUGGCGGCGUGCUUAACACAUGCAAGUCGAACGGUGAAGCGCCUUCCUUUUUGGUGGGUGUGGAUGAGUGGCGAACGGGUGAGUAACACGUGAGUAACCUGCCCCCUUCUUCUGGAUAUCCGCAUGAAAGUGUGGCUAAUACGGGAUAUUCUGGGUCUGUCGCAUGAUGGGUCUGGGAAAGAUAUUGUUUCGGUGGGGGAUGGGCUCGCGGCCUAUCAGCUUGUUGGUGGGGUGAUGGCCUACCAAGGCGGUGACGGGUAGCCGGCCUGAGAGGGUGGGCGGUCACACUGGGACUGAGACACGGACCAGACUCCGACGGGAGGCAGCAGGGGAGAAUAUGGCACAAUGGGCGCAAGGCUGAUGCAGCGACGCCGGGUGGGGGAUGGAGGCCUUCGGGUUGUGAACCUCUUUCGGCAGUGAAGCAGGCCUGCCUCGUUUGUGGGUGGGUUGACGGUAGCUGGAUAAGAAGCGCCGGCUAACUACGUG